GACGAUCGCUGGCGGCGUGCUUAACACAUGCAAGUCGAACGGUGAAGCGCCGCCUUUGUUGUGUGCUCUGGUGGAGUAGCGGUCAGUAACAUGAGAGUUACGUGCCCUUCACUCUGCUUCAGCUUAACGACAUUAGGGUUUAUCCAGGAUAGGAGAUUCUGCUUCUGUGUCGGGGUUGGUCUGUUUCGGCUGUUGCGGCGGGUGGGGAGGGACUCGCGGCGUAUCAUCGUGUUGGUGGGGAAGUGGCCUACCAAGGCUUUGACGGGUAGCCGGCCUGAGAGGGUGACCGGCCACAUUGGGACUGAGAUACGGCCCAGACUCCUACGGGAGGCAGCAGUGGGGAAUAUUGCACAAUGGGCGGAAGCCUGAUGCAGCAACGCCGCGUGCGGGAUGACGGCCUUCGGGUUGUAAACCGCUUUCGCCUGUGACGAAGCGUGAGUGACGGUAAUGGGUAAAGAAGCACCGGCUAACUACGUG
rnacentral:rRNA from 1 species